rnacentral:rRNA from 1 species
GAUGAACGCUGGCGGCGUGCCUAAUACAUGCAAGUCGAGCGAACAGAUGAGGAGCUUGCUCCUCUGACGUUAGCGGCGGACGGGUGAGUAACACGUGGAUAACCUACCUAUAAGACUGGGAUAACUUCGGGAAACCGGAGCUAAUACCGGAUAAUAUAUUGAGCCGCAUGGUUCAAUAGUGAAAGACGGUUUUGCUGUCACUUAUAGAUGGAUCCGCGCCGCAUUAGCUAGUUGGUAAGGUAACGGCUUACCAAGGCAACGAUGCGUAGCCGACCUGAGAGGGUGAUCGGCCACACUGGAACUGAGACACGGUCCAGACUCCUACGGGAGGCAGCAGUAGGGAAUCUUCCGCAAAGGGCGAAAGCCUGACGGAGCAACGCCGCGUGAGUGAUGAAGGUCUUCGGAUCGUAAAACUCUGUUAUUAGGGAAGAACAAAUGUGUAAGUAACUAUGCACGUCUUGACGGUACCUAAUCAGAAAGCCACGGCUAACUACGUG